CUUGAUAGCAAGGGCUUCCACCCUAUCUGUGGAUCUACAGUCCACCGCCUUGCCGUUCGGCCAUACUACC
rnacentral:tRNA from 1 species